rnacentral:rRNA from 1 species
UACAGAGGGUGCAAGCGUUAAUCGGAUUUACUGGGCGUAAAGCGCGCGUAGGCGGCUAAUUAAGUCAAAUGUGAAAUCCCCGAGCUUAACUUGGGAAUUGCAUUCGAUACUGGUUAGCUAGAGUGUGGGAGAGGAUGGUAGAAUUCCAGGUGUAGCGGUGAAAUGCGUAGAGAUCUGGAGGAAUACCGAUGGCGGAGGCAGCCAUCUGGCCUAACACUGACGCUGAGGUGCGAAAGCAUGGGGAGCAAACAGG